UUGAUCUUCUGAUGCUGAAGCUCUGCUGCAGGUCUCUGGUUGGUCUCCUCAGGUUGAUCUUCUGCUGGUGAAGCUCUGCUGCAGGUCUCUGGUUGGUCUCCUCAGGUUGAUCUUCUGCUGGUGAAGCUCUGCUGCAGUUCUCUGGUUGGUCUCCUCAGGUUGAUCUUCUGCUGGUGAAGCUCUGCUGCAGUUCUCUGGUUGGUCUCCUCAGGUUGAUCUUCUGCUGGUGAAGCUCUGCUGCAGGUCUCUGGUUGGUCUCCUCAGGUUGAUCUUCUGCUGGUGAAGCUCUGCUGCAGGUCUCUGGUUGGUCUCCUCAGGUUGAUCUUCUGCUGGUGAAGCUCUGCUGCAGGUCUCUGGUUGGUCUCCUCAGGUUGAUCUUCUGCUGGUGAAGCUCUGCUGCAGGUCUCUGGUUGGUCUCCUCAGGUUGAUCUUCUGCUGGUGAAGCUCUGCUGCAGGUCUCUGGUUGGUCUCCUCAGGUUGAUCUUCUGCUGGUGAAGCUCUGCUGCAGGUCUCUGGUUGGUCUCCUCAGGUUGAUCUUCUGCUGGUGAAGCUCUGCUGCAGGUCUCUGGUUGGUCUCCUCAGGUUGAUCUUCUGCUGGUGAAGCUCUGCUGCAGGUCUCUGGUUGGUCUCCUCAGGUUGAUCUUCUGCUGGUGAAGCUCUGCUGCAGGUCUCUGGUUGGUCUCCUCAGGUUGAUCUUCUGCUGGUGAAGCUCUGCUGCAGUUCUCUGGUUGGUCUCCUCAGGUUGAUCUUCUGAUGCUGAAGCUCUGCUGCAGGUCUCUGGUUGGUCUCCUCAGGUUGAUCUUCUGCUGGUGAAGCUCUGCUGCAGGUCUCUGGUUGGUCUCCUCAGGUUGAUCUUCUGCUGGUGAAGCUCUGCUGCAGGUCUCUGGUUGGUCUCCUCAGGUUGAUCUUCUGCUGGUGAAGCUCUGCUGCAGGUCUCUGGUUGGUCUCCUCAGGUUGAUCUUCUGCUGGUGAAGCUCUGCUGCAGGUCUCUGGUUGGUCUCCUCAGGUUGAUCUUCUGCUGGUGAAGCUCUGCUGCAGUUCUCUGGUUGGUCUCCUCAGGUUGAUCUUCUGCUGCUGAAGCUCUGCUGCAGGUCUCUGGUUGGUCUCCUCAGGUUGAUCUUCUGCUGCUGAAGCUCUGCUGCAGGUCUCUGGUUGUGGCUCAUUUUAUUUCCUCCCACUUCACCAGAACCGGUGCAGACUCUCAGUUUGAAUGUCUGUCAAAGUGUUUAUCAGACGUUUGGUGACUAAUUCUGCAUCUAACCGCCCGCAUGCUGCAGCUGUAAAGGUCUCGUGUGUUUCUGUUCUUCUGCUUCGUCGGUCCAGUUGUUGGGUUCAGGCUGUUCUGGUGAAAUUGGAGCUAACGAACGGCGACCUGAGCAACACA